AUGAGAGUUUGAUCCUGGCUCAGGAUGAACGCUGGCGGCGUGCCUAAUACAUGCAAGUCGAACGAGUUCUCGUUGAUGAUCGGUGCUUGCACCGAGAUUCAACAUGGAACGAGUGGCGGACGGGUGAGUAACACGUGGGUAACCUGCCCUUAAGUGGGGGAUAACAUUUGGAAACAGAUGCUAAUACCGCAUAGAUCCAAGAACCGCAUGGUUCUUGGCUGAAAGAUGGCGUAAGCUAUCGCUUUUGGAUGGACCCGCGGCGUAUUAGCUAGUUGGUGAGGUAACGGCUCACCAAGGCGAUGAUACGUAGCCGA
rnacentral:rRNA from 2 species